GGGGUUGUAGUUCAAUUGGAUAGAGUACCGCCCUGUCAAGACGAAAGUUGUGGGUUUGAGCCUCGUCAGUCCCG
rnacentral:tRNA from 1 species